CUGAGUUUAGAAUAUAUCACCUGCUUUAAAUAAUAUUUAAAUCCUAAAAGAUGAAAGACAUUUUGCAGGAGAAAACAGCCUCAAGAAGGAAACAUUACAAAAGAUAUAAUAAUAAUUACUUUGAAUCAAAUUUAUGAAUCAACUUCUUUCUCCAAACAAGAUUCCAUGUCUCUAAAGAACACAGGUUUCUAAUUCCAGAAAGAUAGUUGUCAAAACUUUAAAUACUUCUCUAACAAUUACAUUCUCUAUCUGGAUCAAACUUUUACCGCCCAACAUUUCUUGCCAUUUGUUUUAUUGUCAGCAAAGCCUAGGUGCCGGACUUUGUGAACUAUGACACAGCUAGACCUUUAAGUAAUUAUUAUAACUAAUAUAUCUAAUAGUUAUUUGCUAAGAGUAAUAGAAUGAUAUACACAAACCCCUUAUGAACUAAAAUAGUACUUCUGCACACUUUUAUUUGCAAGAGUUUUAUUAACCCAGAAUACACUCAAGGGGUUUGGAAAACCCUUUUGACUUUCAUUUCUAAUCUGUAUAGGCCUAUUAAUAACCAAAUUUAUUAAGUUAUGACAGUUUGAACUGCAUAACAUUUCUUAAAAUUUCCUUCUUGAGCUCUGUAUUACCUCAAAAAGCAAUCUAUUCACUAAUGGUCUGUUAAACAUAAAUAAAUAUUUAAUACCAAUAAAAUACAAUAUAUAAUCAACAUUGUAUAACAAAAAUUAUCAAGCUCUACUUGAAAGCCUUAAAAAAUGACUCUGGAAGAAUUAAGCUAUUUUAUUUAAUAUGUAAUAGAUAGUUGGCAUAAAGCAAAGUUUAUGUAUUUAGUUUUCUCAUAUUUUAUUGUAUUUCCACAAACCAUUAAGAUAUAACUUUAGGUAUUUUUCCAUCAGUAAGGCCAGAUAUAGAUGAUUUCUUUUUAUAGGUAACUGAAGGUUUUAACAGGGUUUAGACUGAAAAAUCAGGUACCAUUUAGUCAUAACAUCAUAUAAAGACCUUUAAUCAGGAAAAAGAUUUUUAACAUUAUUGCUUAAGUCUUAUAAACAUGUUGAAUUUUAACCAAAUUGAUACCUCUCCAGUCUUGUUUCCUUUACUCUUAAGUCAUACUUUUUGGCAAAUAUAUAGGUAAUGAUGUAAUUUUAAAAUUAAAUUAACUGUGAAUAAAUUCUAAUUUGUUGGUCAGUGCAUAUAUUUUGCCCCCACUUUACCUAGUAUAUUCC
rnacentral:lncRNA from 1 species